rnacentral:rRNA from 1 species
GUAGGGAAUAUUGCGCAAUGGACGAAAGUCUGACGCAGCGACGCCGCGUGAGUGAUGAAGGCCUUAGGGUCGUAAAGCUCUGUUGAAUGGGAAGAAAAAAAUGACGGUACCAUUCGAGGAAGGACCGGCUAACUUCGUGCCAGCAGCCGCGGUAAUACGAGGGGUCCUAGCGUUGUUCGGAAUCAUUGGGCGUAAAGGGUGUGUAGGUGGCCAUGUAAGUCAGGUGUGAAAGCCCCGGGCUCAACCCGGGAAGUGCACUUGAUACUGCGUGGCUUGAGUACCGAAGAGAGUAGUGGAAUUCCAGGUGUAGUGGUGAAAUACGUAGAUAUCUGGAGGAACACCGGUGGCGAAGGCGGCUACCUGGGCCAACACUGACACUGAGGCACGAAAGCGUGGGGAGCAAACAGGAUUAGAUACCCGAGUAGUCC